UACGUAGGGUGCAAGCGUUAAUCGGAAUUACUGGGCGUAAAGCGUGCGCAGGCGGUUGUGUAAGACAGAUGUGAAAUCCCCGGGUUCAACCUGGGAACUGCAUUUGUGACUGCACAGCUGGAGUGCGGCAGAGGGGGAUGGAAUUCCGCGUGUAGCAGUGAAAUGCGUAGAUAUGCGGAGGAACACCGGUGGCGAAGGCGGCAUCCUGGACCGGUAUUGACGCUGAGGCGCGAAAGCGUGGGGAGCAAACAGG
rnacentral:rRNA from 1 species